AACAUUAACACCCAGCAACCAGGAGAGGAGAGAGGCCUGGGGAAGACAGCCACCACCAAGUACACAAAGGUUGAAAGAGGACGUUUGUGGGAAGUAGACAUUUGUGAAUGUGGAUUUAGAAGAUUUUUCCCUGUGAUGAGCUGAGUCAUGGGUGAGAGCUGGAGAAAACAGAGUCCUGUGAAGAGGUGCCUUCCACGAUGAUUGUAAGUUUCCUGAGGCCUCCCCAGCCAUGCAGAACUGGCCAGCUGGCUGGCAGAUCACACAACUGCCUUUGUGGACCCGUGGCCUGGAUUGCAGAUGGACAAGAAGUGAAGCAUCUGAGCAAUGCAGAGAGACACUGGGCCUCAGAGACACUUCAGCCACUGGCGACAUGAUUCCUCACCCAUCUGCUCUUCGACACAGCUGCUGGGGGUGCUACUGCCAUGGCGUCAGCCAUUUGGCAGCUGAGCACAGAGUCUUGGAAAGAACGACAACCUUUGCAAUUGUCUGGUAGUCCUAGCCAUGCUGUACCCCUGAGCUUUUAACUUGAAUAUCACUUGUGGGUAAAACAAAGGACAAGCAUGCUCAAGUCAUGUCAGAAACUGAGCCUCCAAGUAGUGUUGAUGCUUUACUUAGAUUUAACACCUUGGACUUGAAUCUAGAGUCUUUUGUUCCUUAAAGAAAGUAUGAAAGUAGUUUCUUUUUCACCUGCAGGAGUACAAACAAAAUUACAAAUAGAGAAGCAAGCUGGUGAUGUUUGUAUUCUGGUUUGUAUUCCUUGGUGAUUUUUAACUAAGGCAAAUAAUAUGGAAUGAUUUGUAGCACUUUGAGACUGAUUUAAGUUAUAAUGUCUGUGAAUCUGUAAUAGAAAUAAACUAAAUUGAAAAAGAAAAGUAAUGAUUAUCAUUUGUCUUUUAUUUUCUUAGACCUACCAAAGCUAUCCCUCUCUUUUGGAAAAAACAAAACAAAGCAUGUAUUGAAUCCCUGCUAAUAUUUUGGAACUGAAUUAUUGCAUUUGGGAGAAAAGCAUUAUAUUAUUUUAUUUUUUCAUCUUUGCCAGCAAUGGUAACUUGCUCCUUGACAGUGUGUCUUAAAAAGAAAUAUCCACAGGCAUAAUGCAUGAUUAAAAAUGCACCUAACAUUUUACACAUUUGAUAAAUAUUAAGGUCAGGAAAUCAAUAUUUUGCGGCACUUGGUAUUACCCCUUGUGCCUUUUUAUAGAAACUUCUUCCUUUGUUUUUAUGAUACCGAAACAACAUUGUUGCCUCUAAUAUAUCAUGUCCUCCUUGCUUUCCUUCACAUGCACAUUUUAAUCUGUACUUUUCUUAAAUAGGGGGGUUCUAAAAAACUCCAUCUGUUCUAUCUCCAUUUGUUUUCAUACUAUACAAUCUCCCUCAGUAAUUCCUUCUUGUGCCGUUGGCUACAUCUUUCAAGUAUACCUAGUAACUUCCUUAUUUACACCUUCAGCCCAGGUCUUUCUCCCGAGUUUCAGAUGUAUCCACACAGCUGAAGAGUCCCUCCUCCUGUAGCUUGCUCCCUAAGUCUAAAGUUGAACUGGCUCCCAAAACUGAGGCUGCUUCUUCAGUCUGCACACAAGUGACUGGUCCUGCCUGGCUAUCUCUCUAAGCCUCAUCUUUAUUUCUCACAUUACCUUGACUUGUCCAUUUGCCAUUUCUUGAACCUGUUUCCAUCUCACCAGUCCUACAGUGAAGCCUCUGGUUUAGCCUUCUUCUAUUUGUUACUUGAAUUGUGCAGUCCUAUCUUAACUGUCCUAUCUAUGUAUCUCUAGAAUGCCUCCUCUCCAAUUCAUUAUCGCAGUAAUUCCAGAAUUAUUCCAAACAUGAUCAUAUUUUUUUGCUCCACAAAAAUCUUACAAGGAUUCUGCGUUGCCCAGGGGAUAAAUUUUCACCCCCAAGAUUUGUAGGAAAGGCCUUUCAUGAUUUAAUCCAUAGCUAUUUCUCUCAACUUGUCUCUUAUCACUUCACAACUAACAUCUAAUGUUCUAGGCAUACUAAAGUUCCUGUGGUUUUCUCAUGGUAACUGUUGUCUGGGAAAUAAUCCUGAGGCAAUGGUAGCUUCCAAAUACACUACCAGUCAGGCUGUUCCAGAUGUUGAAAGACAGAAAAUAUCACACACCAAAUUAAAACGAAUGAGUCACUCUAUCCACUAACUUAAACACAUAGGAAGAAGCAAUGGGAAAGAAAUGGGCAAGUUAACUUCUACAGAGCAGGCUUCAGGCUGGCGGAGGGCCCAUAUCUCCCUGAGUCUAGGGACACUGAUGAUGAUGAUAUGGUUAUGAGGACCCUGACUGAGGUUUGAGGGAGGGGUCCAUGGAUAGAAGGUGUUUUGGGCCAAAGAUACAUGCUUCCUCUAUGGGAGAGCAAGGUCAUCUGGCUACAGGCGUCUCUUGCACCUUAGCCUCCUGGACAGCCAUGGUUUUCAUGUACUUUUCUUGGAUUGUGUAUAUGUGGGACCAAAAUGGAGAAUAUGCUGAGUGUUACCAGUGGAUGGCUAAAUUUGGGUGACAGAGCUGUCAACUUGGAGGUGGCAAGAUCAUGAUUUGGUGCUUCUGUCCUUUCUGUCUAUAAACAUUUCUCUUUUUGUUGAAACGUGUUUUAUUUUAUUUAUUCCGUCUCUCCUUGGCAUGUCUUACAGCUCACUCACUCUCUUCUCGGCUCUGCCUGAGGUGCAGGAGCUUCCUGUUUACACAUCAUCCAUACUGAACAUUUUCCCUAUAUCUUGCAAACUACCAGCUUACCUACAGCUUAUGUUCAACCCUUUUUAUGAGUGCAUCCAACCUGUUUGUGUAUCUUGCCUUUAAGCAGAAUUAAAUAUUCUCAAAUACAUUCUCAGAUGAGUAUCAUCAAAUUUAUACGUGUGUUACAGUUAUGUGCUGUGAUAUACCCCAUGACUUCACUCCUUCCUCCUGUUAUAUCUGUCUCAGUCUGUUCUGUGUAACUGUAACAGAAUACCUGAGACUGGGUACUCUGUCCCAGAAAUUUACUGGAUCACAGUUCUGGGGGCCAGGAAGCCCAAGGUCAAGGUGAUGCAUCUGUGGAGGGCCUUCUUGCUGUACCAUCACAUGGUAGAAUAAGAAAGGAUGAGAGAGAGCUACAGGGGACUGAACUUGCCCCUUUUAGAGCAGCACAAAUCCCACUUAUGAGGGUGGAGCCCUCGGUCUAAUCCUCUCUGAAAGGUCCCAACUCUUAGUACUCUUUAAUACUCUUUUUUUUUUUUUUUUUUUUUUUUUUUUUUUGAGACAGAGUCUUGCUCUGUCACCCAGGCUGGAGUGCAGUGGCCCAAUGUCAACUCAUUGCAACCUCUGCCUCCCAGGUUCAACUGCUUCUCCUGCCUCAGCCUCCUGAGUAGCUGGGAUUACAGGUGUGUGCCACCACGCCCAACUAAUUUUUGGUUAAGUUCAAGGCUGGUCUAGAAUUCCUGACCUCAUGAUCCCCCUGCUUCAACCUCCCAAAGUGCUGGGAUUACAGGUGUGAGCCACCGCGCCUGGCGUUAAUACUCUUACAAUGACAAUUAAGCUUCAACGUGAGUUUUACAGGGGACAAACAUUCAAACCAAAGCAGCAUCUAUCAUCAGCCUUCCCUUUGACAGGCUCUUUUAUAUUUACCCUUCAAGACCCAAUUCUCGCAUCCCUGGGAAACUUCCUUGACCCUACCAGUCUGGAUGAGAAGCCCCAGAGAUAAUGUUUAUUUUGUCUACAUCUGUCAUGGUAUUUAAUCAUACUUUACUGUAACUUCAUGUUUACCAUUUCAUUCUCUCACAUUACACUGGGAACAGCUUUGAGUGGAAAUUUUAGUAGAAUCUUUUAUGUGUUGUUACUCUUAGUUAUCCCAGGCUGAGUUAUUCCCACGGUUGGAAUAUGAGGUUAUGAUGUUGACAACAAAUAGUAUAUUUCCAGUUUUGCCUUCACUUUGGAUUGCAAAUAUUCUGGUGUCACUUCAAGACUGUGUCUUCCCCCGAUAUUUUAAGAAAUCUCAAGUGGAUGUUUCACGUGUCUUCUUAGCACAGCCUUCUCAGCUCCCACCUGGGGUCAGUCAUCAAACUUCUUCUCUUCCCUUACCUCCUCAUGUCAUCUUCUGCUGCCGAUGCGAGUGCCCCAAGCGAGAAGAGAAAAGUGUGUUGGAAGCAUGUGCCUGUUCUGUAGCCUGUCUCCCCCUGUGCUCCUUCUGAAGGCAGGACGCAUCCUCACCAAUGCACUCUGAUGGUCCAAAGCCAUGCGCUGCCUCCAUGUUGCUAAACCGUGUGUGUUCCUUGAUGUGCCAUACAUAGCACCUUGGGUUCUCUGAUAUUUAGGGCAAAUACUCUGUCUUUAUUUUAUACUCUGUUUCAUGGACCAAGUUAAUUCUGCCUUAACUUGACGACAAAUUACAGAAAUUGUACACUGUGGAAUUGCUUUUCUUCCUGAAAUUUUUCUAGUCUGAAUUCUGUGUUGCUCUGCCUUAAAAAAAGAAAAAAAAAAAGGCUUCCUUCCCUGGGUCUUUUUCUUGUGCUUUUAUCAUCAACAAAAAACAGAAAUCCAAGGUCAGCACUGGCCUCCCAAUCUUUUCUAUAAAUACCUGUUUGAGAGUGUUCAUACAUUCAUUUCCCUUGAAUUACUACCUUUAUGAUGUUGGCUCCAAAUGCUUAAACCCUUAGCUUUGCCAUCUCAUUCAAGCACUGGCCAUGUUCUUAUUCUUGUCCACUUAUGCACAGAAGUUUUGAUGUUUGCCUGGUUCCAUGAAUUUCUCAAAUCCACAUUUAUAAUAUUUUAUUUGAAAACCAUCUGUCUCAGCCGGGCGUGGUGGCUCACGCCUGUAAUCCCAGCACUUUGGGAGGCCGAGGCGGGCGGAUCACGAUGUCAGGAGAUCAAGACCAUCCUGGCUAACACGGUGAAACCCCGUCUCUGCUAAAAAUACAAAAAAAUUAGCCAGGAGUGGUGGCGGGCGCCUGUAGUCCCAGCUACUCGGGAGGCUGAGGCAGGAGAAUGACGUGAACCCGGGAAGCAGAGCUUGCAGUGAGCUGAGAUCGAGCCACUGCACUCCAGCCUGGGCGACAGAGAGAGACUCUGACUAAAAAAAAAAAAAAAAAAAAAAAAAGAAAGAAAAUCAUCUGUCUCUACCUAUCUUUUGGUAGUGGUCUUCCAUAAACUUGGAAGAGAUCUGGAUAUAAUCUAACCAAUGCAAACUUCUCAAAUUAUACAGAAACCUUAUUUAUUUAUUUAUUCUAUUUUACCUGCUAACAUUGGAAAUCUAGCAGGUAUUUAAUAAGUA
rnacentral:lncRNA from 1 species